rnacentral:rRNA from 1 species
GGUGAACGCUGGCGGCGUGGAUGAGGCAUGCAAGUCGAAUGGGUUUACACCCAUGGCAGACGAGGUAGUAACACGUAGGUACGUACCGAAGAGUCGGGGAUAACCUGCCGAAAGGCAGGAUAAUACCUGAUGGUCCCGCAAGGGUAAAGAUUUAUCGCUCUUUGAACGGCCUGCGCUCUAUCAGCUUGAUGGUGAGGUAACGGCUCACCAUGGCUACGACGGAUAGGGGAGCUGAGAGGCUGACCCCCACCGAUGGAACUGCGACACGGUCCUUACUCCUACGGGAGGCUGCAGUCGAGAAUCUUCCGCAAUGGACGAAAGUCUGACGGAGCGACCCCGCGUGGUGGAUGAAGUCCUUAGGGACGUAAACACCUUUUAUGAGGGAAGAAGUAUAUUGACGGUACCUCAUGAAUAAGGAGCUCCCAUUUCUGUGCCAGCAGGAGCGGUAAUACAGAAGCUUCAAGCGUUACCCGGAAUCACUGGGCGUAAGGGGUGUGUAGGUGGUGUGAUUAGUCGUGCGUUAAAUCCUGGAGCUCAACUUCAGGCUCGCGUGCGAAACGGUCACACUGGAGGAAGUGAGA